CAUCAGCAAAAUCAACCACAAGAGGAAAGCAUGUCUAAUUUGACUUCAGCUUCCGGCGAAGCAAGCGUUUCUUCAGGUAACAGAAAUGAAACUUGCACCAACUAUCCUCCUCAACAAUACGUCGCUCCUCCAGCUCCUCAAAUUCAACCUGUCAAGAAGAAGAGAAACCUGCCAGGAAAUCCAGACCCAGAUGCAGAAGUGAUAGCCUUAUCACCCAAGACUCUAAUGGCAACAAAUAGAUUUGUAUGUGAGAUCUGUAAUAAGGGAUUUCAAAGAGAUCAGAAUCUUCAGCUUCAUAGAAGAGGGCAUAAUCUGCCGUGGAAGCUGAAGCAAAGAACAAACAAGGAGGUAAGGAAGAAGGUGUAUGUCUGCCCAGAAUCUAGCUGCGUCCACCAUGACCCAUCAAGGGCUCUUGGUGACCUGACAGGAAUCAAGAANGCACUUUUUCAGAAAGCAUGGUGAGAAGAAGUGGAAAUGUGACAAGUGCUCAAAGAGGUACGCAGUUCAAUCAGAUUGGAAGGCUCACUCCAAGACCUGUGGCACUAGGGAAUACAGAUGUGACUGUGGAACCCUUUUCUCAAGGAGGGACAGUUUCAUCACCCACAGAGCUUUCUGUGAUGCUUUAGCAGAGGAGAGUGCACGAGCUAUCACAGGAGCACCAAACCCAGUAGCUCAGCCCGCUCCAGGUUCUUCAACUAGUCAUAAUAUAAAUCUCCAAAUGCCCCAAUUCAAUGCUACCAGUACUCAAGGCUUGCAUGCAUUUUCACUUAAAAAAGAGCUACAAAGUUUUAGUCUAAGGCCAGAGUUACCACCAUGGCUUGCUUGCCCUCCAGGACUAGGGGCUGGGGCUGGUCCUGGCCCACCACAUCAUUGGCAGAUACCCGUUGAUCAUCUCUCCUCCUCCUCAU
rnacentral:misc_RNA from 1 species